CCGUGAUCUCCUUGGAGGAGGCUCCCUUCGGGAUGGGUAUCGUAGUCGGCCUUCAUGCUCCCGACUGUAAGACCGCCUCCUCUUCCAGCGGUAGCUCAGGUAUGGGUCUGGCUCUGGGGAACGGUAUCGCUUACAGUGAUGCAUCUAGGCCACAAGAAAGAGAAAGCCCUGCUCACCACACAGCUCACUGCUUCCAGCCACAGGGUGCUCCUGAAGAAGAGGCCCAUUGUUCUAUUUAGGGGCAGCCCUUCCUGCCCCCACUAGGGGUUUAUGAAGUAAAGAAGAACUCUGAGGUCACAAUGACAGAACAGCGGAUGGUGAAUAAACAAACAGGUGCCCCCUAGUAUGGCCGAGGGCCUAAAUACUUGAACUGAGUGCUCAAGCUAUGGCCUGAAAGCAGUACCUCAAGUCUCACUAAUUGACCCAAAAGACAUCCUACUAGCCAGGGCACAUAUCUUCCCACCAGGCAAGUGUGGUCCUGCCCAUCCUCACCAGGCAGACAAAGACCUAUCUGAAGGAUGUGAUGAUGUGGUCUAAUAUACACCAGGCCAAAGCUUGCUUUCUGGGACCUAGAAAAUUUUUAUGACCACAUGUCUAUUUGAGUGGAAAGUCACAGCUUCAGAGUCCAAUGCCAACCUAAUCCAUGGCCCCACCACUUCACUGUUUGCCUUUGGGCAAGUUAUCAAACCACUCUGAACUUCA